ACAUAGACGAGAACAUCGUGCACACUAUGGUUAAUGCGAUUGUAUUGUCUCCAACACUGACAAAGUGUCAACUAUCGUUCUGUCAAAGUCAAUCUAAACAAAUUUUGAAAUUUUGAAAUAGUUUACCUAAAUAAUUCAAAUCAACUGGACGUUCUCAUGAACAAAAAAGGGAUCGUUGAUCAAUUUUAUAACAAUGUUGUUCCCUUAAAACUUACUGAGACACAGCACCUUAAGCGUAAUACAGAAAGAUGGGGAUUGUUGACUGAAUAUUCAUUGGACUCGGUGAAGAUCAACAACUAUAAGGGAAGAGUGUUAUCAUGUGCCACAAUAAGAAUUACAGACAGAUCAGGACAAGUGACAUGUUUGGUAAAGGGACCUGACACCGGUCUCUUAUUUGGAUUGACUGCUACGGAGUGGAAAGAUGUUGAAAGUAUGUGUAGCUACGGAGACCAACUGUUUUAUAGAUAUUUUAAAAAUGGUGCCAGUAAAAGUUGCAGUUAUGAACAAAAACUCUUUUAUAACUUUUGUAUGACUAAUCAAAAGAAUGAUGUUCUUGUUGCCAAGUACCGGAGAGGGGUCAAUACAAGAAAUAAGUUUAAAAGUGAUUCCUUUCUUGAUAUAUUAGAAUUAAGGAAAUGUGAUACUAGUUUGCUAGAUCUCUAUGUUAACCAACUUAAAAAUAGUAGUAGCUUACCCAAAUGAUAAUGUUCAAACAUUGGUUUUAAUGGUAUAUUUAUUAUGGAAAUAGAACGAAAAAUCACUUCCUUAUUAGCUUCUACCAAUAUGAGCUUCUACCAAUUUCCCAAUGAAUUAAUUUCAUAAAAUCAUGUUGUUAUACUUCAAAAUAUAAUGGAUUUAAUUUAA